rnacentral:rRNA from 1 species
AUUGAACGCUGGCGGCAGGCCUAACACAUGCAAGUCGAGCGGAUGAAGGGAGCUUGCUCCUGGAUUCAGCGGCGGACGGGUGAGUAAUGCCUAGGAAUCUGCCUGGUAGUGGGGGAUAACGUCCGGAAACGGGCGCUAAUACCGCAUACGUCCUGAGGGAGAAAGUGGGGGAUCUUCGGACCUCACGCUAUCAGAUGAGCCUAGGUCGGAUUCGCUAGUUGGUGGGGUAAAGGCCUACCAAGGCGACGAUCCGUAACUGGUCUGAGAGGAUGAUCAGUCACACUGGAACUGAGACACGGUCCAGACUCCUACGGGAGGCAGCAGUGGGGAAUAUUGGACGAUGGGCGAAAGCCUGAUCCAGCCAUGCCGCGUGUGUGAAGAAGGUCUUCGGAUUGUAAAGCACUUUAAGUUGGGAGGAAGGGCAGUAAGUUAAUACCUUGCUGUUUUGACGUUACCAACAGAAUAAGCACCGGCUAACUUCGUG